rnacentral:rRNA from 1 species
CUCCGUAGGUGAACCUGCGGAGGGAUCAUUACACAAAUAUGAAGGCGGGCUGGAACCUCUCGGGGUUACAGCCUUGCUGAAUUAUUCACCCUUGUCUUUUGCGUACUUCUUGUUUCCUUGGUGGGUUCGCCCACCACUAGGACAAACAUAAACCUUUUGUAAUUGCAAUCAGCGUCAGUAACAAAUUAAUAAUUACAACUUUCAACAACGGAUCUCUUGGUUCUGGCAUCGAUGAAGAACGCAGCGAAAUGCGAUAAGUAGUGUGAAUUGCAGAACUCAGUGAAUCAUCGAAUCUUUGAACGCACAUUGCGCCCUUUGGUAUUCCAAAGGGCAUGCCUGUUCGAGCGUCAUUUGUACCCUCAAGCUUUGCUUGGUGUUGGGCGUCUUGUCUCUAGCUUUGCUGGAGACUCGCCUUAAAGUAAUUGGCAGCCGGCCUACUGGUUUCGGAGCGCAGCACAAGUCGCACUCUCUAUCAGCAAAGGUCUAGCAUCCAUUAAGCCUUUUUUUCAACCUUUGACCUCGGAUCAGGUAGGGAUACCCGCUGAACUUAAGCA